CAACCCUGCACAGAGGGAAAGAAGAAUCUCAACAUACAGUCCUCAGCAGCUUUAGCAUGGGCAACAAAUUAAGUCUCUGUAAAAGGCCCAAAGGACAGGGUUUGGUGAGAUUCUGGAGAGCUGGAAACAUGGAGGUUGACAGGAAUGUAAAGAAGAACUCAUUUACAUGCCAGGAGGGUGGAACACCCCAAUUCCAUGAGGAUAACUGCUCCUGUACUCCAGACCUCACCCCAUGUGUCUCUUCAUCUGGCUGGUUAUUUGUCCUUUAAGAUCUCCUUACUCAACCAGUAAAUGUACUCUUAUAAGGAAUAGAGGAGAAGAGAAAAGAAGAGAAGACAAGAGAAGAGAAAGAGAAGAUUGCAAGAAGGGAAGACAAGAGAAGAGAAAGAGAAAGAGAAGAAGACAAGAGAAGAGAAAGAGAAAGAGAAGAUGCGAAAUAGACGCAUGCAUUUAUUGAAUUUUAAUUUAUGACAGAAGUAGCAUAGUCAAUAACUGAGGAGUGGAAGGACAAUAUAAUCAGAUAAAUUGAAAAAUGCUUAUUGACAUGGAAAUAUCAAAGGAAAAAUAUACCAUGUGCCCACUGAUAAAAAAUAAAUGGAAUAUUCAUGAAAGGUCCCAAUUACUGUUACAAUAAUUUUUUAAAUAAUUAGGCAUUUGGAUUUUAUGUGCUUUUUGAUUUGAGUAGUUUAAAGUGUUUUAAAUAACAUUAAAUAUUAUUAUAAUUAUAAUAAUUAUUAUUUUUGAGACCGAGUCAUCUUGCUCUAUUGCCCAGGCUCUAGUUCAGUGGUGCGAUCUCAACUCACUGCAACCUCCGCCUCCUAGGUUCAAGUGAAUCUCAUGCCUCAGCCUCCUGAGUAACUGGGACUACAGGCAUGUUCCACUACACCUGGAUAAUUUUUGUGUUUUUGUAGUAGAGACUGGGUUUCUCCAUGUUGGCCAGGCUGGUCUUGAACUCCUGACCUCAAGUGAUAUGCUUGCAUUGACCUCCCAAAGUGCUGAGAUUCCAGGUGUGAGCCACUGCACCCGGUCCAUUAAAUAUUAUUUUAAUUAUAUUAGGUCAAAUAUUUUUGUUUCUUUCCUGAAUUUUAACACUAUUUAGAAUGAGUACAUAGUUGUUAGCUAAUAAAAUCUGUAGUUCAAAAAUUAUUUUGUGACUUACUGAGCAUUUCACUUGAUCAAUUUUUAUAAAUGUUUCAUGAUCUCUUAAAAAGAAAUGUAAGUAGCAUGUUAUAGUAGUAUCUUCCGUCAUCAUAAUAGUAUGUUCUAUAUGUAUCAUGUGUCAUACUUCUGUCAUUUUUGUUUUAUUAGUGCUUUGCUUAUUUCACAGAUUCUGCUUUUGUUUAUUUGUUUCUUAAUAAACUUUCUAAAUCUGCUAGUUUGGGAGGUUUCGACUUUCAUAUUGGUGCACAUUUAACUUUAUAUAAUAUGCUUGAUCAUCUAUUUACUGAUGCAUAGACUUCAGAGAGUGUCUUCUCUUAACUAUCCACUUUGAUCGAUGAAAAAAUAACGACCACUCCUGAUUUUAGUAGUUUUGUUGGUUUUCAUAUAUAUGAAAUGCUACUGUAUGAAUAAAAAUCAAAUGUAGAUCUAUUUUUCUAUUGUUUCUUCCCCAGUGAUACUUUUCAGAUAAGAAUAUGGGCAAAUAAUGAUUGCAGAUUCCAUCUUUGGUUUUAUUCUUUUUGCUAAACAUUUUAUUCUGAGGUAUAGCUGGUCAAUUCGAUAGCUCAUGAUCUUAAAAAUGUCUUUGUAUUCUAUUUCUUUUUUUUUUUAAAUUCAAUUAUUUAGCCUCAUUGACUACAUCAUUCCUCCAGGCAGAAGGUGCAAAAGACAGCAAAACUUGAGGACUUUCACCAAGGAUGUGCUAGGAGGGGACGUGGGAAAUGGAUUAUUCCUUGAACAUUUUCCCUGGGCCAUUCUCUUCCUUUUUUAUUUUUGUUCUGGUUACAUGGGGCUUUCAAGACUCAAGCAAUUGUUUGUUUUUUUUUUUUUACUUUAAUUUUUUUAGUAUUUCAAAUGUUUUUAUUAUGAAAAAUUUAAAUAUGUAUAAAAUAUGAGAAAUUAUAUAAUUCAUCCCCAGAUAUACGUCACCCAGCUUCUAUAAUUAUUAAUUCUGUCCAAUUAUUUUAUCUAUACUACCAUGCUGUUUCUCUUCCUUUCUCCUGGAUUAGUUUGGAGAAAACACCAGACAUUAUAUCACUUAUAAGUAUUUUGAAUAUAUCUCUAAAAGAUAACUCAUUUAAAAAUAUAAUCCCUAUUAUGACACACAGAGUACUAACACAAAUUCCGUAAUGUUUUUGAAUAUACAAAAAUUGUUUAAAUUCCCACAAUUCUCAGUCUUUUUAAGAAAUUAAUUAUUCAAAUCAGGUGCCAGACAAAUUCUAUGUAUAGCAAUUAGUGAACACAUUUCUUAAAUUUCUAUUAAUCUUUAGCUUCUAUCUCCAACUCACUGUUUUUUUUUUGUAAUCAUUUGUUGAAGAAAGUUUAAAGACUGUGUUACAGUUUCCCCUAGUCUAUAUUUUGCUGAUUGCAUUUUUUUGUUUGUUUGUUUUGUUUUUGUUUUUGUUUUUUGAGACAGACUCUCGCUCUGUUGCCCAGGCUGGAGUGCAGUGGCAUAAUCUCGGCUCACUACAACCUCCGUCUCCCAGGUUCAAGUGAUUCUCCUGCCUCAGCCUCCCGAGUAGCUGAGAUUACAGGCAUGCAGCACCACGCUUGGCUAAUUUUUGUAUUCUCAGCAGAGAUGGGGUUUCACCAUGUUGGCCAGGCUGGUCUCCAUCUCCUGACUUCAAGUGAUACACCUGCCUUGGCCUCCCAAAGUUCUGUGAUUAUAGGUGUGAGCCACUGUGCCCUGAUCACAUUCUUGUGGUAUUUCUGAAUGGGUCCACUGCUCCUUUUCUUAUAAAUUGAUCAGACUGAGGCUUGAAUUUUUUUUGGCAAAAAGAUUUGACAGGUACUAUUAUAUUUCCAGUAAAAAGCCCUUAAUAUCUGACUGUUUCUCUUUUUGUGAAUUUAGUAGCCAUUGAUGAUUACUGCUGGAUCCAUUAUUUCAUAAAGGGUUAUAAAAGGAUGAUAUUGUAAUUAAAUAACUUUAAUUAUUAUCUGAACUACCUUGAUGAAUAAAAAAUUAUCUUCCAUCAAAUAUUUGUUUCUCUGAGUUCAGAGCAUGUAGGAUAGAACUACAAUAUAGAUGUGUUGGUAAUUUUCUUAUUUACCAGUAUUCAAAAUAACGAGUUGGCUCCCAGUAUCUUUGCAGGUUGAUCAAUUUUGUUUUGUAAAAAUAUAUAUUAUUAAGCGCUUAUGGAUUUUGAACACCUAAUUUGUCUUAACUAAGUAAAAUUGUAAUUCUUAUUGGUGUUCAAACUUUCCCAGCUUUGGAUAGUGUGAGUUUCUCUCAGCUGGCUCCUGAGUCCUUUUUAUGAUGAUCACAACAGUCUUUGUAUUCUUACUGUCUGGUUUGACAAUAUGUUCUAGAUGCAACAUGUAUAUUUGCU
rnacentral:lncRNA from 1 species